UGAUACUACAAAUCCCAGAAUGCUCUGCUGGUGUUUUGGCGCGUCAAUCAAAACAGCACCCGUAUGUAAAAAACCCUCUCCUCUCUGUUGACCGUAGUCACAGCGUCCUCAUGCAACUACUGGCACUGUGCCAGUACCCCUCCAAAAAAUGGCAAAAAAGAAAGGCAGAAAGUAGAGGAGAUGAAAAGAAGUUUGGUUUCACAACAGACUAUGUUCAAAAAAAGCCACAUCACAAAGUGAGGCUGCUGUAAAGGCUAGUUUUAUUGUGGCAGCAGAGAUCGCAAAAUCAGCCCGGCGCUUUAAUGAGGGAGAGUUUGUGAAAAAGUGCAUGAUGACAGUUUGUGAAAAAGCAAGCCUUUUUAAAUGUGAGCCUGAGCAGAAACACAGUAGCUGAUCGCACAUGUGAUCUUGCCACCAAUCUAUAUGACCAGCUGAUGGAAAAGGGAAAAGAUUUCGUUGCAUUCUCCCUUUCUGUGGAUGAGAGCAGCGACACAUCUGAUACUGCCCCGCUGUCAGUCUUCAUCCGUGGAGUGGACUCAAAUCUGUGUGUUACAGAGGAACUUUUAUGAUUAAAAUCAAUGCAUGGCACAACCACAGGACAGGAAAUCUUUGAAGAGGUUUACAAAUGUGUAACUGAAAUGAAGUUGCCGUUGGAUAAACUCGUGGGAUGGUGCGCCAGCGAUGUGCGGUCAAAAAAGUGGACUGCUUUGCUGGGAGGGUCACAGGUGGAGGGUCACAGGUGGUGACCCUCCAGCAAAGACAUCAAGAAGCUAAAGAAAGGGGAAAUACAUUUCCCUCCUGAUUAUCCAGAAGGGAUGGAAGACCACAACCUGGAAGGAGCUAGUCAGGUGCUGGUCCAGGAAGACAAAUCCAAAUGCAUCACUUUUGAAGAAAGAGAUGGAUGUGACCUUUGCUCUUCGCAGACAGGAGGUUGUCAAAGAUAAGCCUGCCAUUAGCCAGAUGGUGCAGAGAUGGCUGGCUCUUUUCACAGAAAGUCAGGUUUAUUAUGAGUUUAGCAGAGUGGUGGGGAAAAUCUCAGAGAAAACUUCUUUGAUUCACUAGACAGCUUCUGUACAAGCCUGAUUGAGCUCUUCAAGAAGAAGAGAGGCCUUAUGGUCAGCUUUUGGCUGCGCUUUUACGUCAAACAAAGAGCUCUGAGCCAACAGACAUCAGGUGCCUUUGUCUUCGGGGACUGCCAGUCAUCUUGGGAGAUGAUCCUUCUGCCUUCUUCAACACCUGCUCUGACGCAGCUGACAAAGAUGCAUACAGUGAGACUCCACUGGGAAUCGUCUGUAUCGAUGAGGAAAACUCAACACUGAAACACUGGAAGGGAACGUGGUGUGUGAUGGGCUGGCCAACCUUCCUCAGGCCUUCUGUGUCCUUUUUGGACUGAUUUACGCAUUACAUCUGGACUAUUCCAAGUGCAUGAGGUACACUUUCCUCUUCGUGCAACAGGUGAUGCUCAACUUGGGGAAGAGUCAGCUCGCACCCAAAAUUCAGACUCUGAAAAACCAGCUUUCAGAGUAAAGCAGGGUUUCGAUGAGUUACACUACUGCUCUAUGUAUCAGGUGCUCUUUGCAUCAGCUCCAACACCAUCAUCAAGUUUGCUGACGACACGACCGUCAUCGGCCUGAUCACAGACGGCAACGAAACGGCGUACAGAGAGGAGGUCAGAGCCCUGACAUCUUGGUGCCAGGACAACAACCUCCAUCUCAAGGUCAGCAAAACAAAGGAGCUGAUUGUGGACUACAGGAAGAGGCAGAGAGAGGCACACACACCCAUCACCAUCGACGGGACUCCUGUGGAGAGAGUCAGCAGCUUCAGGUUCCUCCGGGUAAACAUCAGUGAGGACCUGACAUGGACACAUCACAUCCAAGACGGCUCGACAGCGGCUCUUCUUCCUCCGCAGGCUGCGGAAGUUCAACAUGGACUCCAGGAUACUCUGCAACUUCUAUAGGUGCACCAUCGAGAGUAUCCUGAGUGGCUGCAUCACCGCCCCCGGGAAGGUAUGGCAGUUGCACCGCCCUCAACCGUAAGACUCUACAGAGGGUGGUGAAAACUGCUCAGCACAUCACCAGGACGGAGCUGCCAUCCAUGGAGGACCUCUACACCCAGCGGUGUAGGAAGAAGGCCGGUAGGAUAUUAAAGGACCCCCAUCACCCCAGCAACAAUCUGUUCUGUCUGCUGCCGUCUGGCCGUCUGACGGUACCGCAGCAUUCGGACCAAAACCACCAGACUCAGAGACAGUUUUAUACCACAGGCUAUAAGACUGCUGAACUCCUGAGCUCUGUGAAUGUCUACUCACAUCUUUUUAUAGUACACACAUACAUACAUAUAUAUAUAUUAUACACAUCUGCCAUACAUAUCUGUUUAUAGUACACAUAUCUGUAUAUUAAACAUAUCUGCCAUAUACAUCUGUUAUACGUAAUAUAUGCAUCUGUCCAUACCUCCUCAUUCAACAGUGUAAAGUGUUUAAAUACUUUCAAUGUAUUCCACAUAUGUAUAUAUUUCACAUCCUCAAAUCUUUAUUGUUGUUAUUGUAAAUAUUCUUCUCUCUUUUUGCACUAUUUUAUUUAUCUUAUUUGCACCAUGUAUGUUGAGUUGUUGGAGGAGCAUGGGAUAUAAGAUUUUCAUUGCCAACAUAUACGUUGUAUAUGCUGUGCAUAUGACCAAUAAAACCUUGAAACUUGAAACUUGAAACUUGAAAUGAACAAUAUCCCUAAUUUGUUUGUUAUUUUGUCAGCCAAGUUUCUUCAUAUUGAUGGAUAAGUGGAACACUUUGACAAGGUUCGAGAGGUGUUAAAGUAAUGUUACAAACACGGUGUCACACACACACACACACACACACACACACACAGACGGAGUCCUCUUAGUAAUGCUGCAGACUGCAUUUUAAUAAGUGCUAAUUUUUCUAGCUCUUGUUCACACACACACACAGACACACACACAGUCGCACACAAACGCACGCACGCACACACACACACACACACACACACACACACACACAGUCACACAUUUUAGAUGUGAUGUCAUUUGUUGCAAUGUAACUGUUCACUUUUAAGCAUCCAAAGCAACAACAGCAGAGAGGUUGUUUCUAAACCUUUUGUUUUAUGCAAAAUAUGUUUUCUCAGGACCUGAAAUAAAAAUGUAAUUUUGUUAUUUUCAUUUCCUGUUGUUUUUUUUAACUUCUACUUUCCAUUUUGUUAAGGCAACGAAUUUCCUCAAUUUUUUAAAGUAAACUCAACUUAUCCGGGCUUACAGUGUGGUUUAUUUUUUAAAGUUAUUAUUAGCCUGUGGGGAAAAAGGUUACUGUUGAAACUUAAAUCAGAAGGCAAUAGAAAAUAGAGGCAUACGAUUUUUAUUUAAAUUGUAUUUAAGAAGUGAAUGCCAUUGAUUUUUCAUGUGUGCAAUAUUAAGUUAUCUAUUGGAUAGUAUUAAGCUUUGCUUGUUCCAUAUUCAAUGUUUAAGCAAAACUUGUUUUGGUCCAUAUGAAAACGUUCAUUGUUAAAUCUGGAGGAAGAUUUUUUCAAUAAAUAUCAAUGUUGGCCCGCAACUUUGUCCAGGUUUAAAUGUUGGCCCACUGUGUAUAUGAGUUUGA